AAUCCUGUCUUCUAACUUUUUGAAAUAUACUAGCUGGGUGUGGUGGCGUGCUGAGUCCCAGCUACCCAGGAGGCUGAGACAGGAGGAACACUUAAGCCCGGGAGUUUGCAGCUAUAGUGAGCUAUGAUCACACUUGUGAAUAGCUGUUGCACUUCGGCCUUAGCAACAGAGUAAGACCCAUCUCAAAAAGGAGAAAAUAUACAGUAAGCUAUUGUGUAUCCACCCUUCAGUGCAGCAAAACUACUGAAUUCAUUCCUCCUAUGUAGCUGUAAUUUUGUAUCUGUUAACCAACAUCUACCUCGCCUUUUCUCCCUGCUACCAU
rnacentral:lncRNA from 1 species